rnacentral:rRNA from 1 species
UACGUAGGGUGCGAGCGUUGUCCGGAAUUAUUGGGCGUAAAGAGCUUGUAGGCGGUUUUUCGCGUCUGCCGUGAAAUUUCGGGGCUCAACCCCGAACUUGCGGUGGGUACGGGCAGACUAGAGUGUGGUAGGGGAGACUGGAAUUCCUGGUGUAGCGGUGAAAUGCGUAGAUAUUCGGAAGAACACCGGUGGCGAAGGCGGCCUUCUGGGCCGCCACUGACGCUGAGGCACGAAAGCGUGGGGAGCAAACGGG